rnacentral:rRNA from 1 species
UACGAAGGGUGCAAGCGUUACUCGGAAUACUGGGCGUAAAGCGUGCGCAGGCGGUUCGGAAAGAAAGAUGUGAAAUCCCAGGGCUUAACCUUGGAACUGCAUUUUUAACUACCGGGCUAGAGUGUGUCAGAGGGGGGUGGAAUUCCACGUGUAGCAGUGAAAUGCGUAGAUAUGUGGAGGAACACCGAUGGCGAAGGCAGCCCCCUGGGAUAACACUGACGCCUCAUGCACGAAAGCGUGGGGAGCAAACAGG